AUAUACCCCAAGGGAGGAAGGCGGUGCAUGCCGCGCAACCCCCCAGAAGGCUAGCAGAGAGAUACCCAAUUCUUUCAAGGAGGAGGCCCAACAACGGAGCUGAGGGUGUCGGAAAGAGCCCACCUUUCCACCCCCAUGGCACAGAAUAGGUCUCGAAUUCACGCUCUAGCAACCCGCCGAAGCGCAAGGCCGAGACUCUACCACGGGACCACGGGAGCCCCCCUUGCAUUUUUCUUUAAAAGCCUUUUAUUUUGUCUAUUUUAAAUAUUAAUUAUUUUGGAUUAAUAUACUAUGCGGCCCUAUUAAAUUGUAAUUUUUUUUUAAUGUGGCCCUUGCACUGAAAAGUUUGCCCCCCCUGUGUUAAAAGGUUGUUAUGCUCUUACCAAAAUACAUAUGUGCACAAAAUAACCUAAUAUUAACGGUUUGCAAGCGUUACCACCAAGGGAGUAUGAUUUUGUGAUGCAUAAAGUGAAAUCUCUCACGAAACAUCGAAAAGUACAGUGAAGAUGAGGAGGUAAAUGUGCCGUUGGAGACGCGUACGCACUACGCAGUCGCCACAAUAGUAGAGUAGCGCCAAAAUGGAAAUAUAUAACUAGCCCCAUAAAAAAAACACAAGAAGAAGAAAAAAUAAUCUUUGUACGUAUGUACGAUCGUGCAAUGAGGAGGGAGAGACGUUUUCGGGAUCGCCUUGACCCCCUGGCAUUAAAUGACAACGAUCUCAUCCUCAAAUACCGCUUCCCUCGGCAUGCCUUGCAGCAGGUGAUCGAGGAGAUGCAGCCUUACCUGCAAAGGAGGACCCAUAGUGGCCAUGCAAUACCAACCCACACCCAGGUUUUGCUGGCCCUGAGGAUAUUUGCAAGUGGUUCCUUCCAAAAUGUCAUUGGAGACACUGCUGAUAGGGAUGACCAACUCCUCUUCCAGUCAAGAAGAAUGGUACCAGACUGCUAUAUGGCAGUCAAGACCACUUAAUUGAAACCCACACCACCUUUGAGCAGCUCCGCUUUGAUGUUUCAGACGCCACCCCUUAACUUUGCUACAACCUCUCUGACCACGUCAAGAGAGGGUGGGCUUUCAUCGAUGGGUGGGUCAGCAUCCACCACCUGCAACUCAGCAACUGGAAUCUGCCCACUUGUAGGGUCUGCCGUGUACAACUGCUCAAAAUACUCAGCCCAAUGAGCCCUCUGUCCAUCCAUGUCUGACAUGAGGCAUCCAUCAGCUGUUCAGACAGCACUCAUCUGAGAAGGAGGCUCAUAGUGGAGCUCCUUCAGGGCUCGGUAAGCAGGUCUGAGGUCAUUCGCAUUUAAGGGGCGCGCCUAUGGGUCUCCUCCUGUGCAUAUGGUACGUCCAAUAGCUUUGAAAUUGUAGUAUGUUGUUUGUUGAUGAAAAGAAAUGAUAUUCUGCGAAUUUCAUCAAAAUCGGGUGAAGUUUAGGAGAGACUCAAACAAAGCGUGUUUUUCAUUUCUUUUUUUCACAGGCUUUAUUUUUCAGUUAAUCGCUUUGAAAAAAAUACCAUAGAAACUUUGUUUACCUAUUUACAUUUUGUUGGACGUGAAUUUUUGUUUUUUUGUUUUGUCUUCGAAAAAAAAAAUUCCGAUUUUUUGUUACUUAUUAUUUUCUCCACUCUGUGUCCCGUUUUCUUUUGAUAUUUUUGAAAAUCCAUUUCCAACAAAAAAUCGCCCUUUAGUUGUAGUUUAAAAUGAUACCUAACAAAAGUCAUUCAGACGUUUUACCUAUUUUGUGAAAUUAUUUGGAGGUUAAAAAGAUACUUUUCGAGAUAUCGGCUCCUAAAGAUUUUUUUUACAUUUCUCCCUGUCUUGCCAUUUGUAUUUAUCUGAUUGGUAUGAAAUUCUCACAUAUGACUGUAUAUACCUUGUUGACUUACCUCAGAAUGAUAAGGCAUCUGGUCCCCCUUUCUAAGAAAGUAUUACUCACUCACAGGCGAGGGUGUCAGAAGGCGCCACCUUCCUCAUUGUGGCCAGAUAGCGCGAGUGCCGCGGGAGUGCCUUGCUUCUUCGCUACUCUCUUGCUUGUUUUCUGAGGUUUGGCCGCUCCAUAAGCCCUCUUGAUGUUGGUGACUUUUUCUGGUUGCCUUGCACUUGUACAUCAUUUGUCAGGACGUUUUUUUGGCUGGAGAGGAGAGAAAAGUACGACAUACUUUUCCCGUCUGUCUCUCGCUUGGCACUGGCGAGGUGGCACCUCUCUUCCUCCCCUGCCUCUCCGCGCGAAGAAGAGAGGAUGACAGAUGACAAAAUUUAUGAAGAAAUAAAAUAUUCUAAUGCAAUUUUUACGUAUAUACAAAUGAUACCGCAUAUGUUGACAAGAGCAUCUUAUGACGCGCAUGUCCGACUAUUACGCUAAAGCCCCCCCAAGGGGGAGGGGUUUUAAUUUUACGAAAACAAACCUCACCACAUGGUAAUUUAGGGUUUCCCGGCCACGCUGAGCGAAAAACAUGUACUCGUCCGAUUUUAAAUAUAUUCGUCAAAAAAAUACCCUGUAGUCGCCCCCCUUAAAUGGCCCUCGACUUCCUCAGUGAGACCCCUGACACCUCUUGUCUCUCCUCAGGAGAGCUCUAAUCCUACCUGACUCCCAGCAUUUCUUUCAACCUCUAGAGAUGGAACACAGUAUUGUUGCAUCUUGAGAUUCUUCUUGACCUGACAUGAGGCUUGAGUGAUGCAACAACAAGUGUAUGAUCAGUUCCAAAGAACUCAACAUCAGAAAACCCUGAAGUUCUGAAGAAUCCUUUAAAAAGCACUUACAAGUAUGUUGUCAAUUUCCCUAGCUACCCCUCUGACAUUGCUAUACCAAGUCCAGUAGUGCAGCUCUGGUCUCUGGUACCAGGAACCCAAAAUUCUCAACCUCUUAGAUCUUGCAAAAUUCAGGAGGAGAGAGCUGUUGAUGUUCCUGGUACCAGAACCAUGGGGACCAAAUCAUAUCUCAUAACCAACCCUGUCAGUGCCAGUAUAGUAGCAUUGAAGUUAUCCAAGAUUGUAAGUGUGUCCCGGGGAGUUGGGGUACUGUUCUAAUACGAAGUUGUUUUGUGUAGAACAUCUCUUCAGUUUCACACAUCUUGGUAGGAGCGUACACUGCAACAAGAGACAUGAAGCUUAGGGUGUGCUUCAGCCUCACUUGCAUUAUACACUCAUCAACUGGAGUAACCUCAACCACAAAUGGCUGCAGUUGGCUGGGGAUUCCCAUAGCUACCCCUUGAGACAGCAACCAUUGCUCAUGCCAAACCAGUAGUAGGUAAACCCCCCUUUGCUGAUCUCACCACUGACACUGACACAGUAACACUAUAUAGUCUCUUAGCAUUUUAAUAUUGUUCUCCUUAAAAAAGUUUAUAAUGCAUUAUGAUCUCUAAUAGGCUAUACUUGUCCUCCAUAUCAUGUCACUAAACAGGAAUAUUCUUAAUCUUAAAUAGAUCCACAUUUUCACUGCUCUUUACAACAUUUGGUAAUUUAUUAUAUAUGGUAGUCUUUUGGCACAUUUUUUAUAAUCCCUAAAACCAAUGGCUGUGUUUUACCUUGGUUUUAAGAGUCUAUAGCUAUCAGAAAUAUGCUUUACUACAAUAUGUCUGUAAUUGAAAUAGUUGUAAUAAUUUUCUCAAGUAUUCAGGCUUCUCAGUCUUGCCAUGUAUGUUGUUACUCAUAACACAAAUUAUAUAUAAUUAUCCCCUUAACUGGCAUCCAGGGUAGCUCAAUGAGAACUGGUGUAAUUCUUUCAUAUACUGGUAAGUGCAUUAUUAAUCUGGCUGCUUUGUUCAUAAUAAUUUGUAUUUUCUUCAGCUAAUAUUUAGGCAAGUUAUAGUACAGUUACAAUAAUCCAAUCUAUUAAUGACAUGUAGUUAUGUAUAAGCUUCUUAAUGGAAUUUAUAUCUAAGUAUUUCUUUAUGAAAACAAUAUUUUGUAAAUUAAGUCUAAUAUUGAAGCAAUAUAUAUUAGAAUUUGCAGAAAGAAAUCAACUGAGAUGGUAUGGACUUGUCAUGAGGAUGGAAGAGAAAAGAUACCCUGUCAAAUAUUAUCAGUAGAAGCCGAGAGGGAGGAGGCCAAUGGGCAGACCUAGAAAGAGGUGGAGUGAUGGGGUUUGGGAAGCAAUUGAGGCAAGAGGAUCAACGAUAGAGAUGGUGGAGGAAGAAAAACAUUAUGCGGACUGUACCAGAUGGAGAAGUUUUGUGAGGCAUCACAACUGACAGGGCACCAGCCCUACCUUGUGUAUGGUGAGAAGGCUCCUUUUGUAAACACCUGCCUACACCCCACCGGCCAGUUUCAAAUGGGAAUACUAUAGUGUAGGCUGACGGUGUCCUGCAGUACAUAAGGGACCUGAGGCAGCGAAACCUUACCUCAUCAGAUGACACCAGCACACCAGACAUGCACGAGGCUGAUGACGAUCCCCCACUAUAUUAGCAUAGAGGUGCACCAGAUGUAGGACCCACAGGUAGAACUACAACAUGCAGCGUACAUUAACCCUUUCAUUGCGCAUGGUGCGGGACGCGACUAUCCCCUCAGGCACAGUCGGGCAGCCAAAUGGGGGUCUCUUAACCUCUGUAUCUCAAAAACUAUUCAUCACAGCUAAAACCUAAAAACACCAUUGGGAAGAGGAGGUCCAGAUCUAUAGGAGUCGGUUAUGUAUGCCUCUCCUGCAAACGUACAUGCACAUUCAGGGAGUAUUGAAUAUGAACACUUGCUUCAGCAUGUGCAUGAUGAUCAGCCAUUUUGAGGCAAAUGUGGACAUCUCUCCUUGAGGUUCUGGCAAGGUUGUAUUGCCGACUGCAAUGUUUACAACUAUUUGGUCAAAGAAUCAGUCAGGUGAUAGGUGAAGCUAUGCAAAAAUCCCACUAUAGUGGACAAGAACAUCCACCAGUUACUGGUCCGUAGAUUUCCCGUGCUGGGCUGAUAUGAUUUUCCACCAAAUUUAGUGGAGAACCCACUCAAUUGGCAAUCCUGUGUUGUGAGAAAUAGUGUUGGAACACUCCCACGCGUGGGAGAUUUGAGUGCGGCUGGAGCUCGCAGUGAGCGUUUAGCACCACCAGCAAAUGCGCCUACCCCUCGCUGCAAGCGUUUAGCAAUGAAAGGGUUAAUCCCAACCCUGCAGUGGAAGAGCAGAUGAUACUCUGGCAAAGUACACACGUUUGACACCAUGUGAUCUUGAUGAUUAGGGUGGGGUGUGAUGUACUGGUGUAUGCUUGUUUGUGUGCAUGUAAUGAUGAUUUUAACUCUCUAAUACAUGUAUAAGUAUCAAGCUUUUUAAGUGGUUAUUAAUUGUGUGUGUGUGUGUGUGUGUGUGUGUGUGUGUGUGUGUGUGUGUGUUUACUUAGUUGUAGUUUCACAGGGCCUGGGCUUAUGCUUGUGUGGUCCCAUCUCCAUAUUUGUGUUUGUCCAGCUUUUCCUUAAAGUUGUGGACACUCUUCGCUGACACUACAUCCUCACUUGUGUGUGUGUGUAAUUCACCUCUUGGUCUGCUGCAGGUCUCUCGAGACAGCCAGCCGCUCGCCUAUGGAAGGAGCUCAGAGCUGUGACCAAUCUUUGGGUAGGGCUGAAACCACUCACACACAACACACCACGACAAUGAGGUCACAACUCCUCGCCUUACGUUGUGUACCUACUCACUGCUAGGUGAACAGGGGCUACACGUUAAAGAAGAUAAACUCAUCUUAUCUUCACCCGGUCGGGGAAUCGAACCCCAGUCCUUCUGGUUGUGAGGCAGACGCUCUACCCACUGAGCUACUGGGCCGUGUGUGUGUGUGUGUGUGUGUGUACAGAUUGAGAGUGGAGACAAGUUGUACAUGUAUUAAUAACUGGACAUGAGUAACUAGGACAUUUCUUGGUUAGUUGUUGACAUUAGCAGUCUGAAGGAGAUGUAAAGUAGUUUGCCCGCGAAGGUGAGACAGGAGUUAACAAUGAGCCCACAAGCUGCCUUAACAUCCACAGCCAGGGCUACUCAACUGGUGGCCUGCGGUCCAAAUCUGGAGCUUCUGAGUGUUGUAGCUGGACCCCAGACUUUAGGGAUAAAAAAAUAUUAAUUAAUUAAUAUGAAGGUCCUGGCAAUAGAUUCUUGCAGGUGUAUUUCCACAACUGACUGUAGAUCCUACAGUCAGUUGAGGAAAUACAUUUGCAAGAAUCCAUCCACAGACCUUCAUAUUAUCAACUAUAUUUUUUUACUCCUGGAGCCUAGGGUCCAGCUACAAUAUUUAUUUGGACCUCUCCAUUCAUUUGAACUUGUCUAACUGGACCUUUGGUCAUAAUAGUUGAGUAACCCUGCCUCCACAGCAACUAUGUUUACAAACACAAUAAAGAGCAUCAGGACAAGAUUUUUAAUGACUACUACAAAUCUCUCCCGUGUUUCCUGUUUCUUGUCCCCUUUGCCUGACACCACUAAACAUAUUUAGUGCUAGAUUUGAUUUUUUUUUUUUCUAAAAUUUUCAGACUAAAAGGAUCAUCUGUGUUUAACCCUUUCCAUCUGUGACACAGAUAUCGGCAUCACAGUAUGGAAAGGGUCAAGAGGAAAUGGAAGAGGAUUAAUCCUCUUCUAAACCUCUCAAUCCUCCUCUAAAUUCCUCUCAAGGGGAGGUGCCACCUGGUAUUAGUGGAGGGUACAUUCAUUUUGUUUCAAUUGUUCUAAGAUAUUUUUUUCUUUGAAGACUUGGGUAAAUGCAAUAAGAUCUGCAUGUAUCAGCAUAAUAGCUUUUGUGAUUCUGUACGAAAACAAAUUACAAACAAAAUUUAUUACUUGUAAUAAGAGCAGAGCUAAAAACAUUAAUGAGGGCCAGCAUGUUCACUCAAUAUAUACAAUAUUGGGUAGUUUUACUCAAGGCACCACUAAUUAAAAAAUGUCCGUUCAAAUUUUUAUGUCUCACUGUUCCUGUGCAAAAAAAUUUACCAAAAUCACCAUUUGAUGUGUCCCAUAAUUCUACCUUCAAUAAAUCAUAUCAGCAGUGUUUUUCUGUUUAUAAAAAAACUUGACGGACAAUUUUUUUACCAUCCACUCAUCUUUCAGCAGAUGUUUGAGUUUUUUUUAUUAUCUUCACAACUAAUGGAGUUACUAUUCUGCAAAGUACAAAAAAUGCAAUUUUGAGAUAUCGGCUAUUUUGUGUGUAAAUACAGUUAGUGUACAAAGUUAUGAUUUUUAAAGGAUCUUACAGUGGUAAAAUACAACUUAGAUACCUAUGCAGUUAUAUUUAUGAAUGACAAUGAUAUAAAAAAAAUCAUAAUUGGCGCCUGUGUGUGUGUGUGUGUGUGUGUGUGCGCACGCACUAGAAAUCUCCUGGGCUGUAGUGUUCUGUGGAUACCUCCUGUUACUUCUUUGUUACUUUCUUCUCUUUUGGGCUUCUUUUCUUUUCCUAGGUGUCCAAACCUGCCAAAGUACAAGUACAAAUGUACCUCUGAGGAGCGCUCGCAAUGCACUAAGUAACUGAUUGACUGAUUCACUCAACCACACUCUCCGAGGCUUGCUGGCUGCCACUAGAAUUUUGCCAGAUGAAUGAUGACACACUUUUCAUUAAAAAAAAAAUUGGAAAAAUUGGACAAAAGAAGGCAAAAUGUAACAUAUAUGAGUAUUCUACAGAAAACGGAGGUUUCUGCAGGGAGGGAACCACAAAAUUAGUAAUACAAAUCAAAUUAUUUGAAGGGAAAAGAAUUAUCGUACAGCUGCCAAACUUUCACAGGGAACAUGUGACAUGUUCAGCUAUUUUUUGGACUAACUUUUAAAAUUUGGCUGAAAUAGUGAAAAAUACCCAUUUUAGGCAGCAUCUCCCCUUAAUCCUCUUCCAUUUCCUCUUAAGAGGUUUAGAAGAGGACUAACCCUUUCCAUAUGGUGACGCCGACGUCGGUGUCGCUGGAGUGAAGGGGUUAAAUAAUUGAACUUUUACUGUAUGUUUUACAUUCUAGCUCAAUAAUGGAUGACUAAAUGGAUAUCAUCCAGGCAAUAUAUGCACCAACCUGUGGUAUGCAAUAUUUUAAAUUAAUCAAAGUGUAAGAACAAUCUUUAUUAAUAGCCUACUAACAAAAGUUACAAAUAUUUCCAGUAACACUAUCAAUUGAACACCUGUUUCAUAAAAUAUCAGUACAUAUAAAAUAAAUUUCAUAUUAAAAAAAAGUUCUGAGAGAUGUCAAUUAACUUGUGUAAACUUUUUUUUUAUAUUUGUUUUUUUUUCUAGAAAACUAACCCUUUUUACAUUCAUUUAAAAGUGUACUUUAUGAAAGUUUACGGAAUACACAGGCUUUUCUUGCACUGAAUUGAAAUGUGGCUGCACUGAGCAGACCAUGACAGGCCUGUGGAUGGAAGGCAUAGAGAGCCACAAGGUUAACAUUUUCCAGCUUCAAUGGAAAGCAAUCCUACGAAUCCAUAAAUUAUGUGAUAAAAGAACUGCAGUACACUCCAUCUAGCACCCGCUUUAUAUCAUGUAUACUUGCAUGUGUGCAUACAAACACAUCCGUGUAAGCUGCGUACUUAUUUGCAUGAUUUUAUGCACACAUUUGUGCAUACACACAUACAUAUGUUUGUAUGCAAAUAUGUGUGCAUGUGUAACCAAGCAAACACACACACACACACACACACACACACACACACACACACA